GGGGCUGAAUGGUUUUGACAGCAGGUUAAAUGGGUAUGCAAGCAUGCCGAGCGUAGUGAUUUAGCUCGUAAAUCUCAGGUCACAAACAAUAACUGGCGAAACAAAUUACGCUCUCGCUGCUUAAUUCGUCAGACGAAUGAAAGCUUAAUCCCCGGCCCUAGGCUGGCCGGGGACGGGAUAUCCCGCAGGGUUUUCCUCCCGAUUGGGUCCUGCAUACGGGGUACCGUUCAAACCGGGAUAACCUGAAGCCCUGUCCCGGGGCCAUGGCGAAAUCUCAGGGGACUAAGGAUUAAAUAGGCUGCCUGUUGCCGGUUUAAUCCCGACAACCAACAACAGGAUAAGCAUGUAGAAACCGUACUGGUUUCCUGUUUGGACGGCGGUUCGAAUCCGCCCAGCUCCACGA
rnacentral:tmRNA from 1 species